UGGCAUUUGACUUGCUCAGAUCUCUGCUCUGUGCGCUCACAGACAUCUGCAGACCUGUUCUCAGUGUGUAGAUCACGCUGAGAUGCGACCAAACAGCAAUGAAUCACAGCGGAGCAGAAAAAGGGGCGGAGCAUACUGUGUGCGCAGGAGAGGAGUCGAGCAGAGAGAGCUGCUUUUUCAUGAAACGGGAGUAAAGUAGUGAACUUAGAGGAGAGAAACAAACAAAGUAUCGAUCAUAUACCACUACCAACGUUUGGAUCGAUAUCUGCAUCGAUCUGCCCACCCUUGUCUCCUGGAUCGUAGCUGAGAUCAGCGUGAACCACGUGGGUCUCUGCUCCCUGAUCUGUUUCCUGUGUUUGGAAAGAGUUCCAGCUUCAUCACGGAGUUUCUCUCGGUUUGUGGGCUCAUCUAAAGCUGAUCAGCAGGAGGAGAAGAGUCUGACGGAGCACCAGACGAACAUUUUCAACCAUUUGGACUCAGCUCAGCUGCUACAGUGGACAAAAAUGUCAUCAACACAAAAGCAUGUCUUUAUCCUGUCUUCCUUCUCUCACCCCAACCGUCGCAGCAGAUGGCCCCGCCCUCCCUGAGCCUGGUUCUGCCGGAGGUUUCUUCCUGUUAAAAGGGAGUUUUUCCUUCCCACUGUCGCCAAAGUGCUUGCUCAUAGGGGGUCAUAUGAUUGUUGGGUUUUUCUCUGUAUCUAUUAUUGUAUGAUCUACUGUACAAUAUAAAGUGCCUUGAGGAUACUGUUGUUUUGAUUUGGCGCUAUAUAAAUAAAAUUGAAUUGAAUACUUCCUGAGCUAGAGUGUGAGCUAGAGCCACCCCAAAACCUGGUAUAUGUGAGCGAUCCACCAGGUUUUCUUUAUCCAGUUGCAGAACUUCUUUGAGUAGAGUAGAAACUGAGCUGGUCAAGCUGUAAACGGCGUCCUCUGCAAUACCCACAAUACAAAUAUUACACCUCUGCAUUCUUGCCUCCAUAUCUUCAUUCUUUUCUUUUCAGCUAACUGUAAUCCUGCAACCGUCUCUUGGAGGCUGACAACCUUGUCCGACCAUGACGAUAAACCCUCUUCCAGGUCGCUAAUGGCGGACUUGACGUUGUUAAUUUCUGAGCGGACUGCUGCUAUGUUGUUAGCAAUCUCCGUCUUAACUUCUCUUAGUUCGUUCUUGAGGGAGUCGAAAUUCUCUACAAGCGCACUUUUCAGUUCUGACCUGAUAAUCGUGGACAUCUUUCAGAGAGGAGAGGAUGUCUGAUUUCAGAC
ensembl:lncRNA